AUGCUCAUUUCGGCAGCACAUAUACUAAAAUUGUAAAAAUGCAGAGAUUAGUAUGGUCCCUGAACAAGGAUGACAUGCAAAUUCAUGAAGACUUUCAUUAAAAA
ensembl:snRNA U6 U6 spliceosomal RNA